GAUGAACGCUGGCGGCGUGCCUAAUACAUGCAAGUCGAGCGAACAGACGAGGAGCUUGCUCCUCUGACGUUAGCGGCGGACGGGUGAGUAACACGUGGAUAACCUACCUAUAAGACUGGGAUAACUUCGGGAAACCGGAGCUAAUACCGGAUAAUAUAUUGAACCGCAUGGUUCAAUAGUGAAAGACGGUUUUGCUGUAACUUAUAGAUGGAUCCGCGCCGCAUUAGCUAGUUGGUAAGGUAACGGCUUACCAAGGCAACGAUGCGUAGCCGACCUGAGAGGGUGAUCGGCCACACUGGAACUGAGACACGGUCCAGACUCCUACGGGAGGCAGCAGUAGGGAAUCUUCCGCAAUGGGCGAAAGCCUGACGGAGCAACGCCGCUUGAGUGAUGAAGGUCUUCGGAUCGUAAAACUCUGUUAUUAGGGAAGAACAAAUGUGUAAGUAACUAUGCACGUCUUGACGGUACCUAAUCAGAAAGCCACGGCUAACUACGUG
rnacentral:rRNA from 1 species